rnacentral:rRNA from 1 species
GAUGAACGCUGGCGGCGUGCCUAAUACAUGCAAGUCGAGCGAACAGACGAGGAGCUUGCUCCUCUGACGUUAGCGGCGGACGGGUGAGUAACACGUGGAUAACCUACCUAUAAGACUGGGAUAACUUCGGGAAACCGGAUCUAAUACCGGAUAAUAUAUUGAACCGCAUGGUUCAAUAGUGAAAGACGGUUUUGCUGUCACUUAUAGAUUGAGCCGAGCGUCAUUAGCUAUUUGUUAAGGUAACGGUUUACCAAGGCAACGAUAGAUAUCCGUACUGGGAGGGUAAUCGGCCACACUGGAACUGGGACACGGUCCAGACUCCUACGGGAGGCAGCAGUAGGGAAUCUUCCGCAAUGGGCGAAAGCUUGACGGAGCAACGCCGCGUGAGUGAUGAAGGUCUUCGGAUCGUAAAACUCUGUUAUUAGGGAAGAACAAAUGUGUAAGUAACUAUGCACGUCUUGACGGUACCUAACCAGAAAGCCACGGCUAACUACGUG